rnacentral:lncRNA from 1 species
GUCCUGUCCUCUCCUGCGGCGGUUUUGACGAUCGAGAUAUAGUUGUCCAUCUCCACCCCGAGGUCGUCUAGGAGCUCACGACUGCCCUUUCCGAGGACACUUACGGAUGCCCCAGUAUCCAGGAGUCCGGAAAUCUUCCGUCCUAGAAUUUGCACCUCGGCAAAAACCCUUGGGUCACGUCCUGCUCCACGCCUGACUGCUUCCGCCACCUCCUUGCGAGUCUGUCUCCUUUGCCGGAAGCGUGCACGGGCCCUCUGGAGUCUACGGCUGACACCUCGCAUUCCAUUCAGCUGAUGUCCGUCAAAGAUCCGAUUUCGGGCUUGUUUAUACUU